GGACUGAUAAUCCAAAUAGCUCUCCUGCCUGCCCGUGGGCUACAUCCUGUUGGCUCGGAUUGGCCUGGGAGGCUCCCUGUCCCCCCGAAGUUAUUCUGGGCUCAGGCUACUGUUCAAACAAAUAUAGUGGGUGUUUUUUGAGCUCACAUUAAGUUAUGUAGAGAGGCAGCCUAAGGCAGGGAGAGGACAGCUGAGAGGAGGGAGGGAGCACCUACCAAGGGAAAGGCGGGACAGCUUGGGAAAUAGGGUUUAUUCAGCUCCUUUCUGUGUUGAGGUUCCAUUUGACAGAUGAGGAAACUGAGGCCUCCAAAGUUGGGAUAAAAACAGGAUGGAGGUUUGGGGAGAGGGACUGGGCAAGAGUCUGCAUGCAGUGGAUUAUCAUAUGUGCUGUUUCCCUUCUCAGACUACGACUCUGUUCGUGUUGUGGGACUUACUCUGGCUACCAUCAUGUUUGUUCUGGGCAUUGUCAUUAUUGUCAGCAAGAAGGUGAAGUGUAGGAAGUCAGACUCCAGGUCAGAAGGGUUUGGGGGGAUCGGGGAUGAGGGUGGGCUUCCUCUAUUUCCCCUGAGUCCCUCUACCCAGCUUGCACCCUCCCUCUACCCCGUUUCCACCUCUGUCCUUGUCUCUUUCUGCCUCUGUCUCUCUGAUCUUCUCCAUCUCCUUGUGUCUUUCUGCCCCACCUUCCUUAGCCAUCUCUGCCUUGUCCCAGGUCUCCCUCUGUCUCUGUGCAUCUGCCCCUGUCGGUCUCCCUGUCUCUGUCUCCCUGUCUCUGUCUCCUUGUCUCUGUCUCCCUGUCUGUUUCUCUGUCUCUGUCUCUCCAUCUCUGUCUCCCUGUCUCUGUCUCUCUGUCUCUGUUUCCCUGUCUCUGUCUCUGUUUCCCUGUCUCUGUUUCUCUGUCUCUGUCUCUCUGUCUCUGUUUCACUGUCUCUGUCUCUGUCUCUCCUUCUGUCUCCCUGUCUCUGUCUCUCUCUCUCUGUCUCUCUGUCUCUCUCUCUCUGUCUCUCUGUCUCUGUCUCUGUCUCUCUGUCUCUCUUUCCCCAUUUGUGUCUCUCUGUCUCUGUCUUCCUGUCUCUGCUCCCCGUCUCUGUCUCCCUGUCUCUGUCUCUCUCUUGGUCUCCUUACGGUCUCUUA
rnacentral:lncRNA from 1 species